rnacentral:rRNA from 1 species
AAUCAACGCUGGCGGCGUGCCUAACACAUGCAAGUCGAACGAGAAAGGGGGCUUCGGUCCCUGAGUACAGUGGCGCACGGGUGAGUAACACGUGACUUAUCUACCCUCGAGUGGGGAAUAACUUCGGGAAACCGAGGCUAAUACCGCAUAAUACCCACGGGUCAAAGGAGCAAUUCGCUUGAGGAGGAGGUCGCGGCCGAUUAGUUAGUUGCGGGGUAAUGGCCCCACCCAAGACGGUGAUCGGUAUCCGGCCUGAGAGGGCGCACGGACACACUGGAACUGAAACACGGUCCAGACUCCUACGGGAGGCAGCAGUGGGGAAGUUUUGCGCAAUGGGGGAAACCCUGACGCAGCAACGCCGCGUGGAGGAUGAAGUCUCUUGGGACGUAAACUCCUUUCGAUCGGGACGAUUAUGACGGUACCGGAAGAAGAAGCCCCGGCUAACUUCGUG